CCCGCCGGCGACCGGCGCACGGGUGAGUAACACGUAUGAAACCUGCCCGUAGCAGGGGAUAAGCGGAAGAAAUUCCGUCUAAUACCGCGUAACAACCCAUGGAGGCAUCUCUGUGGGUUUAAAGGAAGCGAUUCCGGCUACGGAUGGUCAUGCGUCGCAUUAGCUUGUUGGCGGGGUAACGGCCCACCAAGGCGACGAUGCGUAGGGGUUCUGAGAGGAAGGUCCCCCACACUGGUACUGAGACACGGACCAGACUCCUACGGGAGGCAGCAG
rnacentral:rRNA from 1 species